rnacentral:rRNA from 1 species
GAUGAGCGCUGGCGGCGUGCUUAACACAUGCAAGUCGAACGGAAAGGCUCCUGCUUGCAGGGGUACUCGAGUGGCGAACGGGUGAGUAACACGUGGGUGAUCUGCCCAGCACUUCGGGAUAAGCCUGGGAAACUGGGUCUAAUACCGGAUAGGACGAUGGUUUGGAUGCCAUUGUGGAAAGUUUUUUCGGUGUGGGAUGAGCUCGCGGCCUAUCAGCUUGUUGGUGGGGUAAUGGCCUACCAAGGCGUCGACGGGUAGCCGGCCUGAGAGGGUGUACGGCCACAUUGGGACUGAGAUACGGCCCAGACUCCUACGGGAGGCAGCAGUGGGGAAUAUUGCACAAUGGGCGCAAGCCUGAUGCAGCGACGCCGCGUGGGGGAUGACGGCCUUCGGGUUGUAAACUCCUUUCGCUAGGGACGAAGCGCAAGUGACGGUACCUGGAGAAGAAGCACCGGCUAACUACGUG